UAAAAUGGCUUAUUGCCAUUAGCCUCCUGAACACGGGCCUGGUUAAUACUUGGAUGGGAGACUGCCUGGGAAUACCAGGUGCUGUCUUUC
rnacentral:rRNA from 1 species